AAACCGGGAAAAAACCCGGUGGGCCCCGGCCCACUUGGGCCCCCGCCGGCCCAGUCCCGGUCCUAGAUUGGCCCCCGAACGGCAGUAAAAGUUUUUCGGCGCUGUUGCGCAUGCACGCAUUGGGGCUGACGUUCGCGCAUGCGCAUUGGGGCUGAUGUUCGCGCAUGCGCACUCGUUCAUGCGCACGGGGCCCCCGAGGUUCACAACCCGGUGGGCCCCGACUGCGCCAGUCCGACCCUGCUCCCCCCUACCUCUCCUAGGAGCUUCGUGAAACAGCACGGGAACUCUCUGACACCUCCCACCCCGUCUGCUGGCCAAUCAGAGGGACUAUGCCUUUCCCUGACUGAUCUUGAGAGGAGGGAGGAACACGCAGCUGCUUGGUGUGUGUGUGAAGCAGAAUCACAGUGUGCAUGCUGUAAGUCUCUCUACCCGCAAAUCGCCACAAAUCAGAAGCGACCCAUUUUACAGGUUUACAAUGAUCCAAAUAACUGAUCCCUGUUCUACUUUGCAAGUCUGGGCUUCUAGAGAACACAGCAUCAUCAAGGCCUGAGUUAAAAGAAAUAACACAUUAAUUGCAUCAUAACUGCAGCCUCUAAGGCCAGAUAUAUCUGACGCAGUUGCAUCCGAUGAGUCAAAAUAUGCACAACUGCACUAAUGCUUCUACAUGGAUCUGAUGCAAUUGUGCAGAAUAUUUUCAACUCCAGACUUGGCAUCAUAAUUAUGUCUCCACUUGAUUCUCUAUUUUCUUUGUUGUUAAAUGGGUCAUCCCUUGUAUAUUGUCUUUAGCAUUUUGUAUAUUGUCUUUAGCAUUUUGUAUAUUGUCUUGAGCAUUUCCCAAUCACAGCUGCUAACACUGCAACUGACAAUACAAGGAAAGUUGUCUACAGUAGUGUAUCAAUCAACAAGGAAUGAUUAUUUUGACACGUAUGAUUUGUAUUAAAUAUUUGUCCAUUGUUUUACCUUGAAACAGUUGAUGUUUUGUUCUGCCUGCUCCUGCAUUGGAGCUCUUGUGAGGAAGUGACAAAAAACGAACAUUUUUGGCACAAGUCUGUAAAUAAAUAAAGAAAGAUUUUUGGAAA